CGGCUACGAUCGAAGAAAACGAGGAAAAUACGAGUUUAAAUUUAGGGAACAGUUCGCCUUUAUUACAGCAAUCAACAACUACGACAAUGUCAACAACACCAUUGGGACAUUUUGUACCAAGUUUGCCCAAGCUUCCGAAGUUGGAACUCCCUAAAUAUGGAGGUAAAGUAACUGAGUGGAAUUCUUUUUGGGACUUAUACGAUUCAGCUAUUCAUAGUAAC